GAAAAAUACGUGGACAGGAAGGUAUAAAUGACGUUUCGGGCGGACGCCCUUCUUGAAGAAGGGCGUCCACCCGAAACGUCAUGUAUACCUUCCUGUCCACGUAUUUUUU
rnacentral:pre_miRNA from 1 species